UUUCUACUCCCUCUGUCCCAAAAUUCUUGUCUUAGAUUUGUUUAGAUAUGAAUGUAUCUAGUCAAGUUUUAGUAUUUAGAUACAUCCAUUUUUAGGCAAAGCUAAGACAAGAAUUCUCGGACGGAGGAAGUAUAUG
rnacentral:pre_miRNA from 1 species